rnacentral:sRNA from 1 species
AUUUUUGUGGGUGGUUCAGCGCCCCUGGCAGCUGGAAAAAUCGCGAUUGCACACAAAGAGCAUUAUAAUUUAGGCACACACUUUUUCCAGUUUCCAAUAGUUUUGGUGUUAGUUUGAGAACGCAUUGAAGAAUAUGUAUAAGCAGCCACAUUGCACUCAAAGGCAGAGAAUGAACGAUUCACAAGCUAGAAGUUCCACCAUGUGGCAGGUUACAGGUGCUGCGAACUGGUUCAUUUGGAGAGCCAAAGAGCAGCGCAAAAUCGUGUGACUCAAAGAGAAUUCUACCGGCUAAUUCAAUUCACAAACAAUACACAAAGUGCAAGAAUAAAAAUUAACAAGAAUGCUUAGCAUUUUUUCAAAGUGUAAGCUCUUUGCGCGGGGCCACUCCGAACAGCUGAUUCGAUCUAGUUUUAGUUCACGCGCUGCAAAUGUAAAUAAUGGGAGCUGGGUAGAGGUAAUUGGCACAUUUUGCAGCAUUUUGGGCAAUGGCCCGAACAAUAGAUGUGGCACACAGUCUGCCGGAACGGGACGGGACGGGACGGGACGGCAGCUGCUGCAUCAUCGAUUGGCACAACAAAGAAUGCGACGCAUGCCACACACUGCACUGCGAAAAAAAGGAAAGGAGCCGAGAGGAGAGGAACGGAAAGAGAAAAGGAAGAAGGUCGCCCAAGAAAACCAAAAAAACGAUGCUGCAGGAGUAGGCGCAAUAACUGCACAUUGACAUUGGAGGAAGCGCUGGCUGACUGCCCCGAACAAUGGAAAAGUGAAGAAUCUCCCAGAGGACAGCUGUCUGCCACAGGGCAGAACGUCUCCUUCAAGCAGGCAUCUUCAGGGUAUGUACGUCUACAGGCGGCGGCAGGGCAGCGGCAGCAUCGCCAGGGGCAGGCAUUACGCGCGACUACGCGGUCAAUUGGUAAUUGGAUUAGGGCAGCCGGGCAACCCUUCCGCCCAGCAUCCAGCAUUCGGUGAGCCAUGCAGCGGCAGUGACGAUGAGCCGAUGUUGACCCUGUGACCCGACGGCGACCCCUUCCUUGGCUGUGGGCUAAUCAAGAGGGAGCUGGCCCUUUUGCUGCCUUCGCUGCCAAGGAAAACACGGAAAUUAAUUAAGAAAACAGAAAGUAUCCGUAUCUGACAGCAGACGCAGCCGCAGCCACAGCAACAGCCACAGCGUCAGCCUCGGCUUCCCCGGCAUCCCCGGCUUUCCCGGCUCUAGGCUGUCCAUCAAGGAUGAUCCCCGCAUGGCUGCGUACCCGCGGCAGUGUCCCAUCUAGUGUCCCGUAGCGGAUUUUUAUUACAUGAAUUUACAUAUUCCCUGACCUGACCCUUUUACCGACCGAAUCGCCAAGGGGCUGGGCUGGCCUGCCCUCCUGGAAGAGCUUGGAGUACAUCUUGAGGAAUCCAUCCACCCAUGUAUCCCAGCUGCCGAUCGUUGUGGCAAUGCCAGUCUCCAGCGGAGAUCUGGAGCAGCACCGUUGAUGAUUGGAAAUCAAAUUGUGGGAAACUUCUGUGUGGGAUGAUGUCAUACCCACCAGUCAUCGGGUAUCCUCCAGUCAUUUAUCAUAUCUGUUGGCGGCAGGAUAUGCGACAGGAUGUGACUGGGCAUAAACGGUGCCCGCAAUCAUUACCGCCAACCGCAUCCUGGUGUCAUCCCGGUCCUGCGCAUAAAAAGGAAGGCGAAACAAAGCGCCAUUGUCGUGCUCCAAAAAACGUAGCGAAUGGGCCACCGGAUCGGCCAGAAACAGGAGCAGGAUGCGCAGGCAGCUGCUGCAGACCGACCGCAAAGUUCGCGCCCAUGUCCCGGCCGCUGUAAUCCUUUAACUGUCACCAAAACAAACACAAACAGAGUCCACAGGAUACAGGAUACAGGACACAGGACUGACCUCUUCAUUAUAAUAUGAAUACGGCGACAAUCUGUGCCGGGUCAUGCCGCACCGCGCCGCACCGCGCCGCGCUGCGAUCAGGGCGGUUCAGCGAAUCGGAAAAUUAUGCAACGCUCUCCGGCUUCUCAGGACACUGGAUUAGCGGCAAGGAGUCGCCCGACUGACCCCUGCGCCUGCUUUUAUUGCUUUGUGUCGGACAAUUGAUUCUGUGACAUACAUUUCGGUGUAAACAGCUUUGGUCAGCUUCCCGGCAAUCAACGCGACUCUACCUGGGAAAAAUAGAGUCCUCAAUGCCCGCCCUGCCCAUUGGACGGGGCAUAAAUCACGGAUCUCCCAGGGCUGUCCGGCAGAGUGCUCUCUAUUUAUACGGAUCGCUUCAAUCAACAAUGGCCCAGUGAUAUAUGGUCCAUGCAUAAUGGUAAUCUAUAAUAAUUACAUCCAUCUGUGUGUUAUUAUAGCGCCAGUGCCCGUCGAGUGUCCUUUCAAUGGAAUAAAUAUGGAUAGAUUAAGGUCGAUUAA